AGAGCAGGUCUUUGUGCCCCAGCCUUGUAGGUGCGGGGGUGGGAUGGGGUUCUUGGCACCAGCAGCCUUCUGACCACAUGGAACAGCAGCUGGCCAAGGUCUCUACAGUGUAUAAAAAGGGACACUGGGACUGCAGCAGCAGGACUCCACUUCGCAGCAGACAAGGAGUCUUCCACCGAUUCUCCAGAGACCCACACAGCUCACCAAGGACCCAGCAGCCCAGGCAGAUGACUUUCCAUCUGAUGCUGGAGGCAGGAGUGCUAGCUGAAGGUGUCUGUAGGCACUGGGUCCAAGCCACAGUGCUUCCAAACACCUGGGCCUGGGUGUGUGGCUCAGUGGCAGUGUGCUUGCCUAGCAUGCAUGAGGCCCUAGGUUCCAUCCCUAGUGCCACAAAAAAGGGAAAAAAAGUCAAUAAAGUUAAUUUCCUUUAAACUUAUUAAGUGUGAUAACGCUGACAAAAAUAAAAUGUUCAGCCAAAGUU